GGUGGUAUAGCAUAGUGGGCAAGAGCAUGUUGUCUGGAACAUGACUACCUGGGUUUGAAUCCCGGCUCUACCA
rnacentral:tRNA from 1 species